rnacentral:lncRNA from 1 species
GGUCCCUCUCCUUCCUGACAAGAAAUUUCAAACCAUAAACUGAAGCAAAUCUUUUGCGCUGAAAAUAAAUUUGAAAUAUUUCCUUCAUUAUAUAUAAGUCGUUUGCUGUAUUCGGAAAAUUUCUCAAGCAUUGCUCAUAAAAAAUAUUUCAGUCGUUAAGAACAUGAUAAUCAGGAACAUGUAUCAGCGAAAGAGGAUAUGAAUUCGGCUUCUAACAAAGCUGAGCCGUAGAAAAAAAAUCGAAACAUAACCCAAUUCUAUCAAUCAGUUCUUCACAAAAUGUCUAUUCAUAGAGCCUGUUUGAGCCCCAUUUUUAGAGGAGAAUGUAUUUGGAAUAGUAGAUUGAUAGAGAAUGUAUGAUCAAAUGUAAGAAUUUUGUCAGUACGCCAGUGCCAAGUUACUGUUUAAGAUGACACCUUUUGUCUUCGUUCAUAUACUCUCACAGUGUCACACGCCAUUCCCCAUUCAUUUUGUCCUGGUUCAUAGCCCUCCAAUUGCACCGCCGAUGAGCGCAGAGUUUUAAUUCAAGAAAGAGAAGUCAUAAAUCCCUGCUUCUUCUUCCCGAGCAAAAAAGCUUCUUUAUCCUUCGUCGAUGGUGGUUCACCUCUUCCUCUAAAUCAAAACCUAACCCUAAAAUCCAGAAUUCCCAAACCCCCCUGCCAUUUGCAAUAAUCCCUCAUGUUGAAAAUCCUCACCACCACAUGCCGCUACGUCGUCGUUUGGGGCACAACUCCGGCCUGGACACACUGUCGAGAUUGCCUCUCCAAAUCUUCGGAUCCUGAACUCCCUCCUAGGAAUUAAUACAAAAAGCCCUUAUUUUUUAUAGCCGGUUCUUUUGCUCCGACUCCUCUGACGGGUCUAACCCUGCGGAAACUGGGUCUAUUAGACUAUUUAGCUUAGCUGGCAAUAG